AUGAUAGCAUGCUUAUUGUAGUUAUGUCAUAACUCGUUAUUUUAUAAUUGUUUAAAUAUAUCAAUUGAUAAUAUUUGCUCUCGACUUUAUUUUGACGUUACAUUCUUGGACACACCAUUAAUUUAAUAGGUUGAAUGCUUUUUUCCGAAAAUCUUUUACCAUUUAAAAAUCAAUGUUAUCAUGUCAGAAAUAUCUAUGGCGUUGAGAAUAGGCUAUACCAAUUACUAUGGAAAUGUCUUUUCAAUUGGACCCAAGACUGAAGACCUUACAAUUUUAUAUCAAGGUGUAAAUUACAAAUAUAAAGCAUUAAUUUAAUAGGUUGAAUGCUUUUUUCCGAAAAUCUUUUACCAUUUAAAAAUCAAUGUUAUCAUGUCAGAAAUAUCUAUGGCGUUGAGAAUAGGCUAUACCAAUUACUAUGGAAAUGUCUUUUCAAUUGGACCCAAGACUGAAGACCUUACAAUUUUAUAUCAAGGUGUAAAUUACAAAUAUAAAGCAUUAAUUUAAUAGGUUGAAUGCUUUUUUACUGAAAAUAUUUCAUCUUUUAAAAACCAAUGUUAUCAUGUAAAAUUGGUUUUGAGUAUGACAUAUCAAUUGCUAUGGAUAUGUCUUUCCAAUCGGACCCAAGACCUUACAAUUAUAUAUCAAGGUGUAAAUUAUAAGUAUAAAACAUUUAUUUCUAAUGUGACAUUUUUUCAUGUGAAUGUAUAAUAUCAACACUAAGCAAUUUGAAAGAAAAGUGUGUUGUGUUAACUUAAAAUAAUUAUUAAUGCAUGUAUUUGUGUAUGUGGGUUGAUAAUACUCAUAUACCCGUUUCAUUUAUUUUUAAAAAUAUCAGUAAUUAAUGUAUGAAUUUCAUACUACUACA